rnacentral:rRNA from 1 species
AACGAACGCUGGCGGCAGGCUUAACACAUGCAAGUCGAGCGCCCCGCAAGGGGAGCGGCAGACGGGUGAGUAACGCGUGGGAAUCUACCCAUCUCUACGGAAUAACGCAUGGAAACGUGUGCUAAUACCGUAUACGUCCUUCGGGAGCAAGAUUUAUCGGAGAUGGAUGAGCCCGCGUUGGAUUAGCUAGCUGGGGGGGUAAAGGCCUACCAAGGCGACGAUCCAUAGCUGGUCUGAGAGGAUGAUCAGCCACACUGGGACUGAGAAACGGCCCGGACUCCUACGGGAGGCAGCAGUGGGGAAUAUUGGACAAUGGGCGCAAGCCUGAUCCAGCCAUGCCGCGUGAGUGAUGAAGGCCCUAGGGUUGUAAAGCUCUUUCACCGGUGAAGAUAAUGACGGUAACCGGAGAAGAAGCCCCGGCUAACUUCGUGCCAGCAGCCGCCGUAACAC